GUACUUACCCUGCAGGGGCAAUACCACGAUCAAGGAUGCGGUUUGCCCAAAGCGAGGCUCAGCCAUUGCACUCGGGCUGUGCUGACAUUUGUGAUUUCCCCAGAAUUUUGACUGCAUCAUUUUUUUGAUAGUGAGGAACUGCAUUUGCGAUCUCCUCU